rnacentral:rRNA from 1 species
CCUACGGGAGGCAGCAGUAAGGAAUAUUGCGCAAUGGGCGAAAGCCUGACGCAGCAACGCCGCGUGCGGGAUGAAGGCCCUCGGGUUGUAAACCGCUUUCAGUAGGGAAGCGGUACCUACAGAAGAAGCCCCGGCCAACUACGUGCCAGCAGCCGCGGUAACACGUAGGGGGCGAGCGUUGUCCGGAUUUAUUGGGCGUAAAGAGCUCGUAGGCGGUUUCGUAAGUCGGAUGUGAAAACUCCAGGCUCAACUUGGAGACGCCAUUCGAUACUGGAUGACUUGAGUCCGGUAGGGGAGUGUGGAAUUCCUGGUGUAGCGGUGAAAUGCGCAGAUAUCAGGAGGAACACCGGCGGCGAAGGCGGCACUCUGGGCCGGACUGACGCUGAGGAGCGAAAGCGUGGGUAGCAAACAGGAUUAGAUACCCUUGUAGUC